rnacentral:rRNA from 1 species
AGAGUUUGAUCAUGGCUCAGGAUGAACGCUAGCUACAGGCUUAACACAUGCAAGUCGAGGGGAAACGACAUCGAAGCUUGCUUUGAUGGGCGUCGACCGGCGCACGGGUGAGUAACGCGUAUCCAACCUGGCUCCAAGUAGGGAAUAAUCCGUAGAAAUGCGGUCUAAUACCCUAUGUGGUUUGACGAAGACAUCUGAGUUAAAUUAAAGAUUUAUCGCUUGGGGAUGGGGAUGCGUCUGAUUAGUUUGCUGGCGGGGUAACGGCCCACCAGGACGACGAUCAGUAGGGGUUCUGAGAGGAAAGUCCCCCACAUUGGAACUGAGACACGGUCCAAACUCCUACGGGAGGCAGCAGUGAGGAAUAUUGGUCAAUGGCCGAGAGGCUGAACCAGCCAAGUAGCGUGCAGGAAGACGGCCCUAUGGGUUGUAAACUGCUUUUAUACGGGGAUAAAGUCAGNUACGUGUAGUUGUUUGCAGGUACCGUAUGAAUAAGGACCGGCUAAUUCCGUGCCAGCAGCCGCGGUAAUACGGAAGGUCCGGGCGUUAUCCGGAUUUAUUGGGUUUAAAGGGAGCGCAGNCCGUCUGUUAAGCGUGUUGUGAAAUGUAGGCGCCCAACGUCUGAAUUGCAGCGCGAACUGGCUGACUAGAGUACGCACAACGUUGGCGGAAUUUGCCGUGUAGCGGUGAAAUGCUUAGAUAUGGCGAAGAACUCCGAUUGCGAAGGCAGCUGACGGGAGCGCAACUGACGCUCAUGCUCGAAAGUGCGGGUAUCGAACAGGAUUAGAUACCCUGGUAGUCCGCACGGUAAACGAUGGAUGCCCGCUAUUAGUCCAUUAGGAUUAGUGGCCAAGUGAAAACGUUAAGCAUCCCACCUGGGGAGUACGCCGGCAACGGUGAAACUCAAAGGAAUUGACGGGGGCCCGCACAAGCGGAGGAACAUGUGGUUUAAUUCGAUGAUACGCGAGGAACCUUACCCGGGCUUGAAUUGCUGAGGAAAGAUCCAGAGAUGGUGAUGCCCUUCGGGGCCUCAGUGAAGGUGCUGCAUGGUUGUCGUCAGCUCGUGCCGUGAGGUGUCGGCUUAAGUGCCAUAACGAGCGCAACCCCUCUCUUCAGUUGCCAUCAGGUUAAGCUGGGCACUCUGGAGACACUGCCACCGUAAGGUGUGAGGAAGGUGGGGAUGACGUCAAAUCAGCACGGCCCUUACGUCCGGGGCUACACACGUGUUACAAUGGCCGGUACAGAGAGUUGGACACCCGCAAGGUUGUUCUAAUCACUAAAUCCGGUCUCAGUUCGGACUGGGGUCUGCAACCCGACCCCACGAAGCUGGAUUCGCUAGUAAUCGCGCAUCAGCCAUGGCGCGGUGAAUACGUUCCCGGGCCUUGUACACACCGCCGUCAAGCCAUGAAAGCCG